rnacentral:lncRNA from 1 species
CAUUGUCAGGUGACAAACCUGGGUGCCCUGCCAGGAGCUCUGGAUUUGAAUGUGGGCCCUCAUCCCUGCUCUACUCUUUAAAAGCUGCAGGGUCUCAGACAAGUGGCUCUCCUAUUGGAGGAUUCAAUGAGAUUAAAACCAUAAAUGUAUCAAUUUAUUCUUUACUGUUUUAAAACUUUGAGUUUUGAGUAAAUUUCUUUUGAUCUGUCUGCUUAUUUAGACAUAACAGUAUAUGGUUAUUAGAAUUAUUAGGCUAUGUAUCUUG